rnacentral:rRNA from 1 species
GACGAACGCUGGCGGCGUGCUUAACACAUGCAAGUCGAACGGAAAGGCUCCAGCUUGCUGGAGUACUCGAGUGGCGAACGGGUGAGUAACACGUGGGUAAUCUGCCCUGCACUCUGGGAUAAGCCUGGGAAACUGGGUCUAAUACUGGAUAUGACCUUUCUCCCUAUGGGGUUUGGUGGAAAGUUUUUCGGUGUAGGAUGAGCCCGCGGCCUAUCAGCUUGUUGGUGGGGUGAUGGCCUACCAAGGCGACGACGGGUAGCCGGCCUGGGAGGGUGAUCGGCCACAUUGGUACUGAGAUACGGCCCAGACUCCUACGGGAGGCAGCAGUGGAGAAUAUUGCACAAUGGGCGGAAGCCUGAUGCAGCGACGCCGCGUGAGGGAUGACGGCCUUCGGGUUGUAAACCUCUUUCAGCAGGGACGAAGCGUAAGUGACGGUACCUGCAGAAGAAGCACCGGCUAACUAUGUG